rnacentral:rRNA from 1 species
UACAGAGGGCCCAAGCGUUGUUCGGAUUCACUGGGCGUAAAGGGUGCGUAGGCGGUCGGGUAAGUCUGACGUGAAAUCUCCAAGCUCAACUUGGAAAUGGCGUCGGAUACUAUUCGGCUCGAGGAAUGGAGGGGAGACUGGAAUUCUCGGUGUAGCAGUGAAAUGCGUAGAUAUCGAGAGGAACACAGUGGCGAAGGCGAGUCUCUGGACAUUUCCUGACGCUGAGGCACGAAAGCCAGGGGAGCAAACGGG